rnacentral:rRNA from 1 species
GACGAACGCUGGCGGCGUGCCUAAUACAUGCAAGUAGAACGCUGAAGAGAGGAGCUUGCUCUUCUUGGAUGAGUUGCGAACGGGUGAGUAACGCGUAGGUAACCUGCCUUGUAGCGGGGGAUAACUAUUGGAAACGAUAGCUAAUACCGCAUAACAAUGGAUGACACAUGUCAUUUAUUUGAAAGGGGCAAUUGCUCCACUACAAGAUGGACCUGCGUUGUAUUAGCUAGUAGGUGAGGUAACGGCUCACCUAGGCGACGAUACAUAGCCGACCUGAGAGGGUGAUCGGCCACACUGGGACUGAGACACGGCCCAGACUCCUACGGGAGGCAGCAGUAGGGAAUCUUCGGCAAUGGGGGCAACCCUGACCGAGCAACGCCGCGUGAGUGAAGAAGGUUUUCGGAUCGUAAAGCUCUGUUGUAAGUCAAGAACGAGUGUGAGAGUGGAAAGUUCACACUGUGACGGUAGCUUACCAGAAAGGGACGGCUAACUACGUGCCAGCAGCCGCGGUAAUACGUAGGUCCCGAGCGUUGUCCGGAUUUAUUGGGCGUAAAGCGAGCGCAGGCGGUUUGAUAAGUCUGAAGUUAAAGGCUGUGGCUCAACCAUAGUUCGCUUUGGAAACUGUCAAACUUGAGUGCAGAAGGGGAGAGUGGAAUUCCAUGUGUAGCGGUGAAAUGCGUAGAUAUAUGGAGGAACACCGGUGGCGAAAGCGGCUCUCUGGUCUGUAACUGACGCUGAGGCUCGAAAGCGUGGGGAGCGAACAGGAUUAGAUACCCUGGUAGUCCACGCCGUAAACGAUGAGUGCUAGGUGUUGGAUCCUUUCCGGGAUUCAGUGCCGCAGCUAACGCAUUAAGCACUCCGCCUGGGGAGUACGACCGCAAGGUUGAAACUCAAAGGAAUUGACGGGGGCCCGCACAAGCGGUGGAGUAUGUGGUUUAAUUCGAAGCAACGCGAAGAACCUUACCAGGUCUUGACAUCCCGAUGCUAUUUCUAGAGAUAGAAAGUUACUUCGGUACAUCGGUGACAGGUGGUGCAUGGUUGUCGUCAGCUCGUGUCGUGAGAUGUUGGGUUAAGUCCCGCAACGAGCGCAACCCCUAUUGUUAGUUGCCAUCAUUCAGUUGGGCACUCUAGCGAGACUGCCGGUAAUAAACCGGAGGAAGGUGGGGAUGACGUCAAAUCAUCAUGCCCCUUAUGACCUGGGCUACACACGUGCUACAAUGGUUGGUACAACGAGUUGCGAGUCGGUGACGGCAAGCUAAUCUCUUAAAGCCAAUCUCAGUUCGGAUUGUAGGCUGCAACUCGCCUACAUGAAGUCGGAAUCGCUAGUAAUCGCGGAUCAGCACGCCGCGGUGAAUACGUUCCCGGGCCU